rnacentral:misc_RNA from 1 species
GAUGAAGAACGUAGCAAAAUGCGAUAAGUAAUGUGAAUUGCAGAAUUCAGUGAAUCAUCGAAUCUUUGAACGCACAUUGCGCCCGCCAGUAUUCUGGCGGGCAUGCCUGUUCGAGCGUCAUUUCAACCCUCAAGCACAGCUUGGUGUUGGGACUCGCGUUAAUUCGCGUUCCCCAAAUUGAUUGGCGGUCACGUCGAGCUUCCAUAGCGUAGUAGUAAAACCCUCGUUACUGGUAAUCGUCGCGGCCACGCCGUUAAACCCCAACUUGUGAAUGUUGACCUCGGAUCAGGUAGGAAUACCCGCUGAACUUAAGCAUAUCAAUAAGCGGAGGA